GGGUUGUGAGGUUAAGCGACUAAGCGUACACGGUGGAUGCCCUGGCAGUCAGAGGCGAUGAAGGACGUGCUAAUCUGCGAUAAGCGCCGGUAAGGUGAUAUGAACCGUUAUAACCGGCGAUGUCCGAAUGGGGAAACCCAGUGUGAUUCGUCACACUAUCAUUAACUGAAUCCAUAGGUUAAUGAGGCGAACCGGGGGAACUGAAACAUCUAAGUACCCCGAGGAAAAGAAAUCAACCGAGAUUCCCCCAGUAGCGGCGAGCGAACGGGGAGGAGCCCAGAGCCUGAAUCAGCAUGUGUGUUAGUGGAAGCGUCUGGAAAGGCGCGCGAUACAGGGUGACAGCCCCGUACACAAAAGCGCAUGUGCUGUGAGCUCGAUGAGUAGGGCGGGACACGUGGUAUCCUGUCUGAAUAUGGGGGGACCAUCCUCCAAGGCUAAAUACUCCUGACUGACCGAUAGUGAACCAGUACCGUGAGGGAAAGGCGAAAAGAACCCCGGCGAGGGGAGUGAAAAAGAACCUGAAACCGUGUACGUACAAGCAGUGGGAGCCCCACCACUAAGCCAGUGGUGAACUCCACAUACGCAUCCUUUGCUGAUGGCAAUGGUUAACGGAGCGAAAGCGACGUUCAACCGCAAAACAAGCAGAGGGGGCUUAGUGGUGGGGUGACUGCGUACCUUUUGUAUAAUGGGUCAGCGACUUAUAUUCUGUAGCAAGGUUAACCGAAUAGGGGAGCCGCAGGGAAACCGAGUCUUAAUUGGGCGUUAAGUUGCAGGGUAUAGACCCGAAACCCGGUGAUCUAGCCAUGGGCAGGUUGAAGGUUGGGUAACACUAACUGGAGGACCGAACCGACUAAUGUUGAAAAAUUAGCGGAUGACCUGUGGCUGGGGGUGAAAGGCCAAUCAAACCGGGAGAUAGCUGGUUCUCCCCGAAAGCUAUUUAGGUAGCGCCUCGUGAAUUCAUCUCCGGGGGUAGAGCACUGUUUCGGCUAGGGGGUCAUCCCGACUUACCAACCCGAUGCAAACUGCGAAUACCGGAGAAUGUUAUCACGGGAGACACACGGCGGGUGCUAACGUCCGUCGUGAAGAGGGAAACAACCCAGACCGCCAGCUAAGGUCCCAAAGUCAUGGUUAAGUGGGAAACGAUGUGGGAAGGCCCAGACAGCCAGGAUGUUGGCUUAGAAGCAGCCAUCAUUUAAAGAAAGCGUAAUAGCUCACUGGUCGAGUCGGCCUGCGCGGAAGAUGUAACGGGGCUAAACCAUGCACCGAAGCUGCGGCAGCGAACGUAUCACUUAAAGCGAUUCAGCGGGUUACGAUUGACGGAGCGAAGCGACGUCAAAGCGUAUACAAAGUCGAGUCGGUUUAAGGAUACGUUCGUUGGGUAGGGGAGCGUUCUGUAAGCCUGCGAAGGUGGCCUGUGAGGG
rnacentral:rRNA from 1 species